rnacentral:rRNA from 1 species
GACGUAGGGCGCGAGCGUUGUCCGGAUUUAUUGGGCGUAAAGAGCUCGUAGGCGGCUUGUCGCGUCGACUGUGAAAUCCCGCGGCUCAACUGCGGGUCUGCAGUCGAUACGGGCUAGCUAGAGUGUGGUAGGGGAGAUCGGAAUUCCUGGUGUAGCGGUGAAAUGCGCAGAUAUCAGGAGGAACACCGGUGGCGAAGGCGGGUCUCUGGGCAGUAACUGACGCUGGAGGAGCGAAAGCGUGGGGAGCGAACAGG